rnacentral:lncRNA from 1 species
UGUGAAGGCUGAGAAACACUAUGGGAAGAGACUCCCCCAAAGUCUUGAGCCCCUGUAGACCUCAAGGUAGGGAAUGGGGCCAGACCCACAUGACAAUCUCAGCAAGGCCCCCCCUCCCACCACCUCUGUCUGCUGGGAGGGAGAGUUUGGUCCUGCUGCCUAGCCCAGCUGCCCGAAAAUGUUUGAAUUCACAAACUCAUUAAUGACUGAAGUCAUUGGAGAGGUAAGGAAGAAGAGAUCUUUGUCCAGAGAGGGAGGAAGACAUAACCAACCACAGGUGGCUAAGCCAGAGGGUUCUGGGUAUGUCCCAGGUUCUCUGGGCUGCCCAGGGGAGGGAAUGAUGGAGAGGGUCUAUGGAGGUCAGAAGGCAGCCACGUCCUGAGGACCAGCUGCACACACAUAUGCAGGACCAGCCUCGAAGCC